AGGACAAACGCUGGCGGCGUACUUAAGGCAUGCAAGUCGAACGGGCGCUUCACCUUCGGGUGGGUGUGCUAGUGGCGGACGGGUGAGUAACGCGUAGGAACCUGUCAUCAAGAGGGGGAUAACGCUGGGAAACCGGCGCUAAUACCGCAUGUGGUCAUGAAAAUGAAGAAAGCAGCAAUGCGCUUGAUGAGGGGCCUGCGUCCGAUUAGCUUGUUGGUGGGGUAAAGGCCUACCAAGGCAUCGAUCGGUAGCUGGUCUGAGAGGAUGGUCAGCCACACUGGGACUGAGACACGGCCCAGACUCCUACGGGAGGCAGCAGUUAGGAAAUUUUCCCAAUGGGCGCAAGCCUGAGGGAGUAACGCCGCGUGGAGGAUGACGGCUUUCGGGUUGUAAACUCCUUUUCUGUGGGAAGAGUAGAAGACGGUACCGCAGGAAUAAGCCUCGGCUAACUACGCGCCAGCAGCCGC
rnacentral:rRNA from 1 species